GCUGGGUGGGGCAGUACGUACCUGUAGUCUCAGCUGCUUGGGAGGCUGAGGCGGGAGGAUCACUUGAGCUCAGGAGUUCUGGGCUGGAGUGUGCUAUGUGAAUCAGGUGUCCACACUAAGUUUGGCAUAAUAUGGUGGCCUCCCAGGAGCAGGGGACCACCAGGUUGCCUAAGAAGGGGUGAACUGGCCCAGGUUGGAAAUGGAGCAGGUCAAAACUCCCGUGCUGACCAGUAGUGGGAUCGCGCAUGUGAAUAACACCGCACCCCAGCCUGGGCAACAUAGCAAGAUCCCAUCUCC
rnacentral:SRP_RNA from 1 species